ACGCUCGACACCUACGUGAGGCAGCAGUGAGGAAUAUUGGUCAAUGGGCGCUAGCCUGAACCAGCCAAGUAGCGUGAAGGAUGAAGGCUCUAUGGGUCGUAAAACUUCUUUUAUAUAAGAAUAAAGUGCAGUAUGUAUACUGUUUUGUAUGUAUUAUAUGAAUAAGGAUCGGCUAACUCCGUGCCUGCAGCCGCGGUAAUCUGAGCGGGCUGGCAAGGC
rnacentral:rRNA from 1 species